CAUUCUGCGCUGGAGUAAUCGGCGAAAAAGACGUGGCGGCGGGUAUCAAGUUGUUCUCCGUUCUAAUGUCUUACCGGGAGCUGGUUGAUAGUUGAGUGGAGCAGCAAAAAAAAAAUGAAAACAAGUUGCCGAAGAAAGUAAAACCAAUCUAGCGUAUAGUGCAAAUUGCAUUACAUUUAAUUCAAUAAACGAUUCAGUUCAGGUAUAACAAGACAAGUGCAUUUGAGUUUGUUCCAGUUUGCCGCUUCUCGUGUGCGCGGGGUUGCGACUGGGUGGGAAUUUUUCCAAGGUUCAUCAUAAUGGCAGUUGAAUUAUUUGAGUGCAGAAGAAUGUUUUCUGAACAAGUUUUAAUUUGAGCCAAUUUUCGUUUCCACUUCUAUUUUCAGUUUUUGUAUUGAAAGGCUUCCGACAAGACCAUCAAAACAUUCUAUCACCGAAGAUGAACGACAUUCCUGCAGCAAGAAUUCGCUCUCACGCAGCUAGACGAAACCAUUAAAAGUGCGGAACAAAUCUAAUGAAUCACUUCGCCCCCAUUGUCGUUAUCGUCUAUUUCCUCGUCGUGUCUUCCUGGCUUAUCCGUCCUGCUUUCCAGACCCAGCCACCACGGGAGGCUGUGUUUCGGUUAUUGAUGCGCUAUAAUGCGAUAUUAAUAAAUCAUCGAAGAAUAAACCAAGGCGCGUUGGAUGUGAAUGCGUAUGAUGGUGUUGUGAUUUCAGCUUCUUCUGCUCGGUACGGCAAUGGCACAAUAUGACGCAGUAUUCGCCGAGACGGUAUAAUGCCGUGGGUACGCACUUUUCCAAGCUGUGUACAACAUGAGAUGGUGACGAGGUGGAAAAUUCCUCAGCAUCCGCGCAGCAGCGGAGCGUUUGUGUCGGGGUAGUCCUAGUACAGCUCGAUUCUGCCGUUAGGGAUAAUGUUCUCGGCUCUCCUGCUGGAAUGAUAAAUGAAUCGAUUUUAUGAUUGCUGAUAAUUUCUGGAAAAUAAAGACGCUUUUUGUUUUGUUUGAUUUUCGAGCAAAAUUGAGA